rnacentral:rRNA from 1 species
UAAUACAGAGGUCUCAAGCGUUGUUCGGAUUCAUUGGGCGUAAAGGGUGCGUAGGCGGCGCGGUAAGUCGGGUGUGAAAUCUCGGAGCUUAACUCCGAAACUGCAUUCGAUACUGCCGUGCUUGAGGACUGGAGAGGAGACUGGAAUUUACGGUGUAGCGGUGAAAUGCGUAGAUAUCGUAAGGAAGACCAGUGGCGAAGGCGGGUCUCUGGACAGUUCCUGACGCUGAGGCACGAAGGCCAGGGGAGCAAACGGGAUUAGAUACCCCGGUAGUCCUGGCAGUAAACGGUGCACGUUUGGUGUGGGAGGAUUCGACCCCUUCUGCGCCGGAGCUAACGCGUUAAACGUGCCGCCUGGGGAGUACGGUCGCAAGAUU